rnacentral:rRNA from 1 species
AGCGAACAUUGGCGGUAGGCUUAACACAUGCAAGUCGAGCGAGGCGUAAUAGUCGAGCGGCGAACGGGUGCGUAAUACAUGGGAAUCUACCCUGAAGUGGGGGAUAACGUUCAGAAAUGGACGCUAAUACCGCAUAAUCCACAUUGGGAAAGCGUUGCAGCGCUUUAGGAUGAGCCCAUGGCUGAUUAGCUAGUUGGUGAGGUAAUGGCUCACCAAGGCGACGAUCAGUAGCUGGUCUGAGAGGAUGACCAGCCACACUGGAACUGAGACACGGCCCAGACUCCUACGGGAGGCAGCAGUGGGGAAUCUUGCGCAAUGGGGGCAACCCUGACGCAGCCAUACCGCGUGAGUGAUGAAGGUCUUCGGAUUGUAAAGCCCUUUCGGCGGGGACGACGAUGACGGUACCCGCAAAAGAAGUCACGGCUAACUUCGUGCCAGCCGCCGCCGUAA